rnacentral:rRNA from 1 species
GAUGAACGCUGGCGGCGUGCCUAACACAUGCAAGUCGAGCGGCAGCGCGGGGUGCUUGCACCCUGUCGGCGAGCGGCGGACGGGUGAGUAACGCGUGGGAACGUUCCCCAAAGUGAGGAAAAACUGCCCGAAAGGGUAGCUAAUACCGCAUAUUAUCUUCGGAUCAAAGGGUUUAUACGCUAUGGGAGGGGCUCGCGUCGGAUUACGUGGUUGGUGUGGUGAUGGCACAACAAGCCGACGAACCGGAGCUGGACGGAGAGGAUGACCAGCCAGACUGGAACGGGGACACGGUCCAGACUCCUACGGGAUGCAGCAGUGCGGAAUCUUCCACAAUGGGCGAAAUCCUGAUGGAGCACCGCCGCGUGCAGGACGAAGGCCUUCGAGUUGUAAACUGCUUUUAUAAGUGAGGAAUAUGACGGUAACUUAUGAAUAAGGAUCGGCUAACUACGUG